AAUAAGAGCAUAAGGGGCUGGAUCUUCAGUCUUGGGACUGGUGAGACAUGAUGAACAUGGGAAUAUUAAAAGGAUUAAAGGAUCUUCAGGCCCCAUGCUCUAAUCUUCUAAAACAAUUAAUUAGGGGAACUUAAUGCUCAUUACUCUCGUUUCCUAAAUGAACUUUCUGGCUUCCUCCUUUUUUCUGCCUCAAUAUAUUCGAUAUAUCUCUUGGGAUGCAUUUGAUGAAAAAUGAUUAUGAAAUACUUGAAAGUUGUAAUUUUUAAUUUUUAUUGAUUUUCUUUAUCUAAGUUUAUAUAUCUAAAAUAAUUAUAUUUUUACUUAUUAAUUUGAUUUCACAAAUUUGUACCCGAUCUUUUCAGUUUUUACCCAAUUUUUUCUGAAUUCCGAAAUUUUCAACCUUGCCGAAUUAUUCCCCACUGCUGAACUUGUGACUGCGUUAAGGAGAUGGUCUCAGAUAUCUUCAUCGAACUGUCUAAGUAGAAGAUGAAAGCCUUGAUGUGAGAAUUUAAGUUGUAAAAAAGGAUUUGAAGAACCUGAAUUCAGAAAGCCAGUCUCAAAUACUCUUAGGUGGUUAUGGUUAUGAGGUUAAAAAAGAAAUGAUGAUUUUAUUGCUUUUGAAAUAAAGGCCCCUGUACAAAAAAUUAUGUUUGAUUGUAAUUGACUAAUCACUGUAGCAUUUUGAACUCUCGCUUUGGAAGUUUGUUGGUGUUAGUAUUGGUGCUGUUGUUGGCAUCUUCUCUCCCAGGAGUAAGUAUUUCUUUACCACUCCAUUUAUAAAGAGAAAUGCAUUUCAUUUUGGACAUUAAUAUUUUUUAAAGUUUAUCUGUCUUGUUUAUUAACCAUAUCUUGUUGCUGCCAUCACUGCUGUAGUUUGGUUAUAUUUCUUUUCUUUUUCCCCCUCUUUUUUAGUAGUGGUCCUUAGCUUGUAUUUGGGUCCUUAUUCUGUCUUAAGCAGAUGAUCAACCUAUUUAUUUCAUCCAAUCAUUGCUUCUUGAUAGUUAUUUACAUAUUUUCAUCUGUAACUCUAUGAUUUUUUUAAAAAACUUGCUUC
rnacentral:lncRNA from 1 species